rnacentral:rRNA from 1 species
UACGUAGGGUGCAAGCGUUGUCCGGAAUUAUUGGGCGUAAAGAGCUCGUAGGCGGUCUGUCGCGUCGGCUGUGAAAACCCGGAGCUCAACUCCGGGCCUGCAGUCGAUACGGGCAGACUGGAGUUCGGCAGGGGAGACUGGAAUUCCUGGUGUAGCGGUGAAAUGCGCAGAUAUCAGGAGGAACACCGGUGGCGAAGGCGGGUCUCUGGGCCGAUACUGACGCUGGGGAGCGAAAGCGUGGGGAGCGAACGAGGA